CAUUCAUUCGUGGGCUACAAGUAUUUGUUCGAGUAAUCUACCUCAGUGCGCGCGUUGAUUUGUAUUCCCAAUUAGUCUCUGCCUCUCUGUAGUUUUAGAAAACUUGCACUGUGGAUUUGCUACAGUGCUCAUCCAAUCCUGUUGCAUAUCCUGCUCAGCCCGCAUUCUUUUCUCUCAUUGACUAAAAGAACGAAAUCGAGUGUCAGGGCUUUUUUUGUGAUGGGUCAGGUUAUACCGGAUGUUUGUGCGCAAGGGUCCUCAGCCGUGGAGGAGGUGUUGGGUUGCUCAUCUGUGACGGCUGCCGAUGCAAGUAACGUUUCCCCCAUUUUUUUUUGAUAAUUUUAUAAAUUUGUAAUUUUUUUCUCCCUUUAUAUCUUUCACUAGAACUUUUUAAAGCCCGCCCAUUUUGCUCGAACCUCUUAUUUUGUCAUUAUUUCUCUUUCGAUGUUCUCCCCUUUUCUCGCUCCCUUUUCAUCGGUCAUCCUCCUACCAGUGUUACUCUUCAAUCCCCAUGGCUUCUCAUUUUGUCAUCGUUGCAUGCUUCUUUGACGAGACCUGAAUUGCACGGUCAAUCUCCUUGCACGAGGUCAUAAAUUUCGGCGAGAGUCAUUUGGAAGCAAGGUAGUUCUUGCAAAUGCUAUGUUCUUCUAUCUCCUUUUAAUUUUCUUGAUGUGAAAUUUCUAAUUAUUUUUUAUUAUUUUCCUUUAACUGUAAGAAGAAAAACAGCGCAUUGCUUUCUGUCAUCGCCAUACAAUCUUAACACAUUGUAUCCAAAUCCUCUUUUUGAUAGCAUGAAACUUUAAUCUAGGAAGUAGGGGUGAGUUCAAUUGCAAUAUUCUCCUUCUAUGAAAUUUUUAGUUAAUUUACUGUCACAUAAUCCUCAUUUUCAUUCAUUGUGGAAAUUAAUUUUUAGCAUUUUCAGUUUAAUUGAGCUUUUAGUUUUGCUAGUGAUUCAAUUUGUAUUGUCGAUGAUAGGAUUAGAUGUUUAUAUUCAUUGACUUGAAGAUAAUAGAUACAUUCAGUUUACACUUUGCGAUGAAUCAUUGAUGACUUGAAUAAUGAUUUUUUCUAUCAUUUUAUAUUCCUUUGUUGCUUGCUUAUGAUUUAUGAAUUUGUGCUUGCCAUCUGAUUUUGUUGAUUUUCUAAUAAUGAUAAAUAAAUAUGAGGAAUUAUAGUUAAAAUUAAAGAAAAAGUGCAACUUUUUGGAAUCCAAAGUUCAACUGUUGUGCUUUUGGAUUGUCUCUAAUGCUAUUUUGAAAUCCAAAAUGCUAAAUAUUUUGAUAUGAUAAACUUGGUCACAGAGCUAAGCUGAUGCUUUUGAUAUCCCUGUCUUAAUUUUCUUCUUUGAAAUUCUAUUUUUGGCUCUAAUUUUCUUUGAAUUGCAUUCUAUUUAUUUGUUUAUAAAGGAAAUGAAAGGGUAACUACCUAACUGAGAUAAACUUGAGGUAUCUGCUGUAGAAUGCCGAAUAGUAACAAUAUGUUGUGAUAUUGUGGAACUUGACUUUUUGAGUUCAGGUUAAGGAUUAUACUUCCUCUAAGGCUGAUGAAUUGGCAAUUGGCCUUAAUAUGGUAAAUGGUCUACGUCUUGAGGCUAUGUCUUGUAAUUUGUCAUGCCAUGUUCUUUGUACUUAAACUUUUUGUAUAAGCCAUUGUUGGAGACCACUGCUUUUUUCUUUGUGUGUUUAUUUCAGAAAUUUUGGUGAAGCUAUUGCUGUAGGAUUUUGAAUGCUUAACAUGCACAAUUUAUUCAAGAGCAGUGUUUCUGAUGUAACACACACGCACACACCCUCACACAGAUUUGAAUAGAGGGAGAGAGUAGAGAGAAACGAGAAAUAGGGAGGGAGAAAUGAAGAACAGAACAAUGGGGGAGCAAGGGAGAGGGAGACAGUAUGCAGAGAGAGGGGGAGAGCUUCUGAAUAUGCAAAUUUAAUAUUCAUGUAUUAUGAAAAAUUUAUGUAAAUUGUGUUAGCAAAGAAUAUGGUGGAAGUGGUGUUGUGAAAGGAAACUUGUUGAUCAAGCUGUAAGGUAAUUAUUAUUAAUGUAUAAUUGAUUGUGAUUUUUGUUGUAUUUGGAAAAUUAUGUUGGUUUAGAAAGAAUAUAUUUUUGUUUGAAAAAAAUAAUGGUCAAGUGGGUUGAAUUGUAUUUGAGUAUUAUGUUUGGUAUAAUAUUACUGUUUAGAAAUAUGAAAUUGUUUAUAUAUGUUUUUAUUCAGAAAUAUUUGAAAUAUACAUGAACUGUCGAGUUUUGAAAUGUGUUGUUGGAAAUUUUGUCUAGAGUUAUUUUACUAUGUGGUAAGCCCUCAUUAAAUUCAAUAGGUGGCUUGUAGCUUGGGCUGAUUUACCUUUGAUCGAGUGACUUAGCUUCGAGCACGAUGUAUGGAGGGACAUAAGGUGCUGCCGUGCAAAAUUAUUUUUGUCCAAAUUGUUUGGAUAUCAUAUGUAUGGAAAAUAAUCUUGUAUGCCCAUUUAACAAUCACAUGGUUAAUUAUAUUGCAUGCAUUAUUACAUAUUAA